ensembl:lncRNA
UUCGUUUUGGUACAUUUUAUCCAAGCCAUACUUAAAUAUGGGUUACAAAUGCAUUUGUAUACAGCCCAAGGUUGAGCUGAUACGCUCUCACUGGACUGUUUGAUAUUAUGAUGAGAAUGAAGGUGUGAUAUUGAUGUGACACAAGAAGCUAGUGAGGAGGUGGAAGGCGAGUGAAGUAAGGUGAAGAACUGUGUAGAUGGUGCUAAACCCAAAGGGCAUAGUAUCAGUCCCACUGUUCGUGACAUAAAAGGAAGUGGCAGAAUGUAUCCUGCAUAACUUCAAGGUGUGAAGAUCGAUGACAAAGUAACAUCCAAAAUACAUACAGUAUGAUAGGUUCUUCAUACAGUCCAGUAUAGAAUCUGUUAUCUACCUGAAAAUGUAGGUCCACUCAUAAUUGUCAGCAGAUGACCAGAAGCAACUCAGAGUUUUCACAGAUAAUGAAAAUAGAGUGGUAUUUGACCAGAAGCUUGAGUUCAAAUAACUGCAGGCGAACAUAUGAUAAGCAAAAUUGCAGUGACUGACUGAAUGUGUAGGAAGGGUUUUAUUUAUUCUCUCUCUCUUUUUUUUAAAGGUUUUUUAUUUUUUAUCCCUAUAAGGAUAGGACGGGGAUUAGAGAAUGGGAAAAAAUCCUUAUUGUUCCAUGUGGGAUUUCCUGAGCAUGAGCAUCAGAUGUUGACAAGCUGCAUUUCUAUUUUUUAUUUAUAUUUUUUAGAAGUGAUGGUGAAUUUUGGACACAGUCAUUGUUAAAAACUGAAAAAAGAAAAAGACAGACAUAUGGGGAGACUGAUUAAAGGAAUGAAAAAUAGAUCUGUCUUUAGAGGAUGUGCAGUAGCAAUGGCAGCUCUUCUUUCCAGAGUCCACUUCAAAAUAAUAUACAGUCACACUGCAGUUGUGUGAUAACAAUAAAAGUAAGAAACAAAAUGCAAUAGUAAGCUGACGGCAGACACAAGAAAGCAACAAAGUCAAACUGGUGUGAGGAAAUGUGGAGAAUAGAUACAGAUGACAUAAAAGAAGGAAAGCUCAUCUCAUUCCUGUCUGCAGAUGUAAGAUAUAUGACAUUCAGGCUGGAUUUCUGGCUAGCAGGGCGGAAAAUUCCAUCUGUGUCCACUGAGGUGCUAUCAAAAAGCACAACUACGUUGUCUCUCUCUCUCUCUCUCUCUCUCUCUAUCUAUCUAUCUAUCUAUCUAUCUAUCUAUCUAUCUAUCUAUCUAUCUAUCUAUCUGUCUGUCUGUCUGUCUGUCUGUCUGUCUGUCUGUCUAGCUAUCGUCUGUAUCCAGUAAGGAUCCCUAAUAGUGAAGCUAUACCACAUCUG